rnacentral:rRNA from 1 species
UACGGGGGGGGCAAGCGUUGUUCGGAAUUACUGGGCGUAAAGGGUCUGUAGGUGGCCAACUAAGUCAGACGUGAAAUCCCUCAGCUUAACUGGGGAACUGCGUCUGAUACUGGAUGGCUUGAGUGUGGGAGAGGAAUGCGGAAUUCCAGGUGUAGCGGUGAAAUGCGCAGAUAUCAGGAGGAACACCGGUGGCGAAGGCGGAUCUCUGGGCCGAUACUGACGCUGAGGAGCGAAAGCGUGGGGAGCGAACAGG